AGUGAACGCUGGCGGUAGGCCUAACACAUGCAAGUCGAACGGCAGCACAGUAAGAGCUUGCUCUUACGGGUGGCGAGUGGCGGAUGGGUGAGGAAUACAUCGGAAUCUACUUUUUCGUGGGGGAUAACGUAGGGAAACUUACGCUAAUACCGCAUACGACCUACGGGUGAAAGCAGGGGAGCUUCGGACCUUGCGCGAUUGAAUGAGCCGAUGUCGGAUUAGCUAGUUGGCGGGGUAAAGGCCCACCAAGGCGACGAUCCGUAGCUGGUCUGGGGGAAUGAUCAGCCAAACGGGAACUGAGACACGGUCCAGCGUCCUACGGGGGGCAGCAGUGGGAAAUAUUGGCAAAUGGGGGCAAGCCUGCUCCAGCCAUACCGCGUGGGUGAAGAAGGCCUUCGGGUUGUAAAGCCCUUUUGUUGGGAAAGAAAAGCAGCAGGUGAAUACCCCGCUGUUCUGGCGGUACCCAAAGAAUAAGCACCGGCUAAUUUCGU
rnacentral:rRNA from 1 species